CCUCUCAUGGCGUAGUGGUUAACGCGCCCCAACUAGAGAUCGGGGAGGAGUCGUGAGUUCGAUUCUCACUGAGAAGA
rnacentral:tRNA from 1 species